GUGAGCUCGUGGCGCCUGUGUGUGUGUGUGUGUGUGUGUGUGUGUGUGUGUGCUUCUCGCCCACCCAGAGCAUCUCACACCCCAGGC
rnacentral:miRNA from 1 species